CCGAGUUUUGUCUUCUUUAAGCAAAGUGAAAUGGUGGCAAACACCUUUGAUUUAAAGGUAGGGUAUUCCGUGAUUUAAGCAUUAGUGGAUCAAUCAAGACCGGUGCUUUAUUUGCUUACGUGUUUAUGCAUAAUUGAAAAUCAUUCAACAAAGAAAGCAGAAGAAAUCUCACUCUCUCUCUCUCACGGCCGAACCCAGCAAAAACAGAGCACGGAUUCUUCGAUCUCUCUCUCCCUCCUCAGGCCACCUCAAGACGUCGAACCACCUCCAUUAGCCUCGCCUAGACCUUGCACUGCUGCAGUGGCAUCCUUGCACCGCGGCACAACCGGAAAACGGCGGCGGAAACACGGUUUCGUUUUAAAACCCGAUUGGGUCCAAUUGUGAUAACUCGAGCUACAGGCCAUCAAUCCUCACCAAACUUCAUCCUCGAGCUCGCCUCAACUUCCUGAAGCUCCCAGAAGCAGCCUCACACGGCGGCGUGGCCCGUAGCAGUGGCUACAAGUCAAACCCAACCAAGAACGAAACCGGAGCUAUCGAUCCAAAUAUCUUGAGCUACAGGAUGUCGUUUUGAGUGAUUCUUGAACCAGUGAGCUCGCCUUGAAGUUCUGAACAACUCUCCAGAAGGAAUCGAAGCGUUUCGUUGAAGUUUUUACGUCGGAAUUCAAGCUCGCCGGAUUCUGGAAAUUUUCCGGCCACCGACGCUUUCGAUCAAGAUAUCUUGAGCUGUAGAGCUUCGUUUUGAGUGAUUCUUGAACCAGUGAGUUCGUCUUUAAGUUCUGAACAAGUCUCCUGAAGGAAUCGAAGCGAAAGGAGGACAUUUUUACGUUGAUCGGAGCUUCGCCGGCUUCUGCAAAUUCUCGCCGGUUUUUGGAAAAAUUCCGGCCACCUCGACUGUUUUAGGUGAUUGACGGUCUUCCUUGGGUGAGCGAUUUCGGUGUGUAUUGUGUUGAAUUGAAGACGCAGCGGGAAUAUCGAGCGGGUAAUCCUACAGGUCAGGCGAAUCGGGAAGGUGAUCGAGCUGCUUAGAGAAAUUGCAUUGGGUAAAUCUGGAUUUAUAUUGUGAGGUUUAUUAUGCUCUUUUGAGUAUUGUAAAUUAAGUUGUGAGAGUGUGAUGUAAUAAGUAAAUUGAAGAUUGGUUUUUGUAAUAUUGAGAGGUGUGAAGUGUGGUUGUUUGUGAGAAAAAAAUUCAGGACGUUAUUUGUAUUGAUGUUAAUCAUGUUUCGGAUUUGAA